rnacentral:lncRNA from 1 species
UUCAUCCUCUCCACCUCCUUGCGCCUCCCUGCCGGUACCCUUCUCUGCUCAAAACUGCUGCUGCUUGUGCGCUCCAGCUGCUCCUUCUUCUCCUGCCUACUGCUGUUUCUUCUUGCCCACAUCACUUUUGCUGCUCCUCUUCUCUGCCUCGCUACUGUUUUUCUUACCUAAACCUCAAAACUGCUGAUGUUCUCUUCUAAACAACAAAACUGCUGCCGCUCUCUUUCUUUCUCUUUCUCUCACUCUUUCUAUGUGUCUGUGUGUGUAUUUGCUGAUAGUUACUACUGGAUGCUCGACCAAUUACAUUCAAAUUAGUAUUAGCUCUCUAUGUGUCUGUAAGUCAGUUAGUGUACUGUUCUGUUCUGAAAAGGUGAAACUUGUGUAUUGUUCUGAACACCCAAUUUGUGUUUUGUUAUGUAUUAGUUUCUGCAAUAUAUGUGAAGUUGUGAGUUGUUGAGCUGAUCAUUUUCGAUUAGACUUGUAUUGUCAUGAAUUUUGAGUCAUAUAUAUAUAUAUAUAUAUAUAUAUAUAUAUAUAUAUAUAUAUAAAUUCGGUCAAUUCUAGUAACUGUGGUGUUCCAUAUUUGUGAAUCUCCUGUACAAAUGAGUUCCAUUGCUAUAGAACUCAAUGGUGCUCUACAUCAUCUUAAAUGUCUGCUUGUGAACCAUGUACCAUAAUCUUUCUGUCCCUUAUCCUUUAUGCUUGCCUGUGUUAGUAUUUUAAUUUCUCAAGCAUAAUGAAACUACUAUAAAGACAGAGAGUAUAAUCUGAACCUUCCUUUGCUUCUAUCGUUUUCUUUUGUCGAUGAUUUUUCCCGAAUGAUCUUAGUUAGUCUAGAUUUAAUAUUCUGCCUUCAUCACCCAAUAUUGUCUUACCUAGAUUUAGCCAAGCGUUGUUGCCGUCGCCUAGUCCCUGUGGAGAACACAACAUCCAUAGUUUGGGCAUAAAAACCCUGCUAUAUUACAAACGAUCACUUUGGCGCCGUUGCCGGGGACUAGCGUCGAGCGUUUGUGUGAGGCUUUAGACUAGGUUUAGCUUGUUUCCUUUUUGUGCUUUAUAUAUUUGUGAUAUAUCCCUAGCCACUAACCCCUGUUCUAGUUAGUAUCUUUUUGUCUUCUUUUCCUUUUUGCAGGUUGGAUUAUCCUCUCGGUUAUGGCUUACUAUUCAGAUCAUCAGGAUUAUGCGAGCAACACUACAAACAACACGGAAAGUGUUCAAGAACUGAUAGGUAAGAUUUCCCAUCGAUUAGAUGAUUUAGCUUGGCAGCGAGAAGGAGUUUUUGAGGAUAGGCCUAGCUCUUAUGAUCCUUAUUCUAGAGGCUAUCCUUAUGUUGCUCCUACCUGCCAUAUUUGUGGAUUUCAGGGCCAUUCGCCCGCUGAAUGUCAGCAUGGUUACUCCCAUCCUCCGGAUUGUUUUGGCAUGAGCUUCGCUCAACAGCAUAGCUCAUACCAAAACAAUUACACACAUGGGUGGCCUGAAAACCAGAAUAUGUCAUAUAGGAGCAAUAACCCUGAGAUCUCAUCGUUUGCUUCUAGUACUCAUAUGUAGGGAUUUAGGUACAAUGAGGAGAGCCACAAUUAUGCACCAAAACAAUUCCAUUCAGCUCCUACUCAUAUACCACAGCACCAGGAGAUGUUGCCAAUGGAGUUAAAUGGUCCUCCAUUUGGUCAACCAACAACUCCAGCAACUGCUGAGCAAUCUCAUGUGCAAGUGCCCACUCAAGAUGAGUUCGAUGACAUAGACAAGCUCACAUUGCUUAGUCUUGAGUUCACUUGGAGUGCCGAGGAUGAUCCUAUUAGGAAGGUUAUACUAGAUGAAAUGAAGAAGAUCAAGAGUGGAAAAGAGCUAGUGGAAGAAGUAAGGAAGAUUGAGAAGAACAUCAACGCUGGCAGCACUAUUUCUUCACAACUUGAGUUGAGUGUGGCUGAGAUAUCCAUGGAUACAUGUGAGGUUCCAACACCUUCACAUUUCGUUGAGCAAGUUAGCAAGUGCCUUGAGCAAGAGAUACCUCAGAUUGAAGAAGAUGAACUAGAAGACAAGGAACAAGAUGGUCAAGAGCUGCAAUUCCCAAGUGAUCAAGUUGAAGACUCAUCAUCUAUUACUCCUGAAGAAGUACAAGAAGCUGCUGUAGAUGAAGAUGAAGAACAUGAGAUUCAUUUGCCUAUUGUCAUACCAGAGCGUGAUGUGUCAGGUUUACUCAAUCCUCUUGAUGACAUGAUGCCUUGUGAUUUCUUGGCUACCACCUUGCAUUACAUGAUACCAUCACUUACGAUCGAUUUGAAAACUCAUUUGCUUGGAUAUGAUGAUAUAUACCCUGUUAGUGGCAUUGCUCUCAUUUGUGAUGAUCAAAAUUACUUUCCUCAUGCUAGUCUUGAGCUUAAUGAUAAAUGUCAUCCUCGUGUGAGUAUUGACCAUGCUGAUUUCUGCCAUCCUAAACAUGUGCUUUAUAGUUAUGCUUAUAUAAUUGGAUAUUCCAUUGAUGACUUGGAGGGCAUCGACCGUAUCACUUGUAGUUGUUUGUGUGAGUCCUAUUUCGGGCUUUUGCUACUGCACUGUUUACUACAUGCUGACCAGGUUCGAGGUGACAUUCCUUGGGAUCCUGGUGGAGUCAGAGCAUGGCUAUGAGGGGAGCACAAACAGGGAACACAAACAAAGAAGAGUGGAGAGAAGAAAGUAGGAGAGAAGAGUAUACAAAUACCAGGUGAUUCUGUUCCACUUGAAGCAACCUUUAGAAAAUUUAGUACGAGAACUGGCAUUUUAUUGCAUUGAAACUCUUUUUGCAUUGUGACACCUUACUCUUCACUGCAAAGUAGGAUUCACUCCAAGAAGAUUGUUGAUUCUCUUAAUACUAAAACUAUGCAGCUGUAUUCUUCUUAUGGUAAUUUGUGAUAAUGAAUACUUUAUACCUCCAUGUAAAUGUUCAAUGGGAAUGCCUUGAGUCUAAGUGAAACCUACUAAUGAAUUGAUGUGCUGUGUCUGACUGUCCCAAGUUAAGCUAAGUAACUGGUGGCACUUAAGUAGUAGCUAUGAUCUCUGGAUCUGUAGUAUGUGAAAAACAGUGCCAUUAGCUAUGGAUUCCUCUUUCAAUUAUUCCUGUUUUACUUAAGCUAAGUAAUUUUCAAAUAACUAAAUAAAAUAAUUAUAAUAAUUUAAGUCCGAUCGACCUAUAGUAGCAUGUCAUGUUCCCUGGAUCGGUGGCUUGUGAAAUCUGGUAGAUUGGACUGUAAAAAAAAUUUAUAUAAAAAUGCUAUUAUUUGUCGAACCAGGUGUAUACCAUGUUCUCGGGAUUGGUGGUAUGUUCCUUUGGGGAGAUAAUAACAAAAAAAUAUAAUAAUAAUUUGUCGAACCAGGUGUAUACCAUGUUCUCGGGAUCGGUGGUAUGUUCCUUCGGGGAGAUAACAAAAAAAUAUAUACUAAUAAUUUGGCCGAGCCAGGUGUAUACCAUGUUCUCGGGAUCGGUGGUAUGUUCCUUUGGUGAGACUGAUAUAAUAUCAUCACUUGUGCUUUAAAUUCAAUAAGUAACUUGUUUUUCUAAUUGAUUUUGGGGUCCCAGCUUAUCUCAGGGCUGAAGACAGAGCCAGCUCUUGAUUAUUAGUAUUCACUUUGACUCAAGGCCAUUGACUUGGAACAUUUACAGUGUGUUAUAAAAUAUUUCUUAUCACAAUUUAGCUUCAGUAGAGUACAUUUGCUUAGUUCCAGUAUUGUCGGAAUUACUAUCUAUCGGAAAGUGCAUCUUUACUAGGAAGUGUGAGUUGUGUCACCAUCAAUUUUUUUUCCUUUGCUUGAGGACAAGCAAAGAUUUAACUGUGGGGGAACUUGAUAAGCACAUUUCUUAUAUACUAUUUGGGCACACAAAUUCACCUUUUAUUGAGAUAUAUCCAUCCAUUCUUGCUAUGACUUGUUGAAUAUUCGAAUGAUAAUCAUAAAAGAGAAUGUUGACUAGUGAAUUGUUUAUUUUGCAGAAAAGUGCGCAAAGGCACUAUAAUCGUCAAGACUUCUACUAUGUGGCUAACGAGAAGAGAGAAGGGCAUGAAAGAAAUACGUCAAGGCUUGAGCGUGAAGGAAAGAAGUAAUGUAGGGGAGCAAACUAAAAGAAGAGGAGGAUCUUCUUGGGAAGAAAGAAGAAAGGAGGAGGGCCAAAGUAAAAAAAGAUAGAACAGAGGAGGGGAUCAAAAAUCCCUAGCGCAGCCGAUCCCCAUCGGGCCUGGCAUCUCACCUCUCUCCCUCACCCCUCCUUCUCCACCACCGGCCGCCGCCGCGGCCAGGCCGGCGUGGCGGUGCGCCUGCUGCUCCUCCACUCAGCCACGAGCACCAUCCGCCGCACCAUCCAUCCAUCCCAGCCGCGCCACGCCAUCCAUCCACCACUCCACCAGCGCCCACCUCGCGCGCCCCUCCUGCCGCUUCCUCUCUGAACCUGCUGUUGCUGCUGCAUCUUCCUUCUUCCUCUCGACCUCCUGUUGCUCUUCUCCAAGCACCGCUGCUGCUCCUUCCUUGCAACCCCCUGCUGUUGUUCAUCCUCUCCACCUCCUUGCGCCUCCCUGCCGGUACCCUUCUCUGCUCAAAACUGCUGCUGCUUGUGCGCUCCAGCUGCUCCUUCUUCUCCUUCCUACUGCUGGUUCUUCUUCCCCACAUCACUUUUGCUGCUCCUCUUCUCUGCCUCGCUACUGUUUUUCUUACCUGAACCUCAAAACUGCUGCUGUUCUCUUCUAAACAACAAAACUGCUGCCGCUCUCUUUCUUUCUCUUUCUCUCACUCUUUCUAUGUGUCUGUGUGUGUAUUUGCUGAUAGUUACUACUGGAUGCUAGACCAAUUACAUUCAAAUCAGUAUUAGCUCUCUAUGUGUCUGUAAGUCAGUUAGUGUACUAUUCUGUUCUGAAAAGGUGAAACUUGUGUAUUGUUCUGAACACCCAAUUUGUGUUUUGUUAUGUAUUAGUUUCUGCAAUAUAUGUGAAGUUGUGAGUUGUUGAGCUGAUCAUUUUCGAUUAGACUUGUAUUGUCAU